CAAGUCGAGCGGAAACGAGUUAUCUGAACCUUCGGGGGACGAUAACGGCGUCGAGCGGCGGACGGGUGAGUAAUGCCUAGGAAAUUGCCCUGAUGUGGGGGAUAACCAUUGGAAACGAUGGCUAAUACCGCAUGAUGCCUACGGGCCAAAGAGGGGGACCUUCGGGCCUCUCGCGUCAGGAUAUGCCUAGGUGGGAUUAGCUAGUUGGUGAGGUAAGGGCUCACCAAGGCGACGAUCCCUAGCUGGUCUGAGAGGAUGAUCAGCCACACUGGAACUGAGACACGGUCCAGACUCCUACGGGAGGCAGCAGUGGGGAAUAUUGCACAAUGGGCGCAAGCCUGAUGCAGCCAUGCCGCGUGUGUGAAGAAGGCCUUCGGGUUGUAAAGCACUUUCAGUCGUGAGGAAGGUAGUGUCGUUAAUAGCUGCAUCAUUUGACGUUAGCGACAGAAGAAGCACCGGCUAACUCCGUGCCAGC
rnacentral:rRNA from 1 species